rnacentral:rRNA from 1 species
AGCUCCAAUAGCGUAUAUUAAAGUUGUUGCAGUUAAAAAGCCCGUAGUCGAAUUUUUUAGGAUACUAGAUUAUAAAUUGAUUUUAAAUUGAUAUAUAAAAAGGGUCCUAAUAAUUUUCUUAAUCUUUGGGUUAUAAUAUAUACUUUAAUGUAUAGUUAUAAUCAUUUUCUUUUUCAUUUGAAAAAGAAGGGUUAAGAAUGAUUACUUUGAAAAAAUUAGAGUGUUCAAAGCAAGCUUUAUGCAUGAAUACAUUAGCAUGGAAUAAUGAAAUAGGACUUUGGAUCUAUUUUGUUGGUUUAUAGAACCAAAGUAAUGAUGAAUAGGGAUGGUUGGGGGCAUUAGUAUUUAAUUGUCAGAGGUGAAAUUCUUGGAUUUAUGAAAGACUAACUUCUGCGAAAGCAUUUGCCAAGGACAUUCCCA